rnacentral:rRNA from 1 species
GGUUGUCAUGCCAAUGGCACUGCCCGGUAGCUAAAUGCGGAAGAGAUAAGUGCUGAAAGCAUCUAAGCACGAAACUUGCCCCGAGAUGAGUUCUCCCUGAGACUUAGAGUCUCCUGAAGGAACGUUGCCCGGAAGAGUUAUUUGC